rnacentral:rRNA from 1 species
CACGUAGGGUGCGAGCGUUAAUCGGAAUUACUGGGCGUAAAGCGUGCGCAGGCGGUUGUGCAAGACCGAUGUGAAAUCCCCGGGCUCAACCUGGGAAUGGCAUUGGUGACUGCACGGCUAGAGUGUGUCAGAGGGGGGUAGAAUUCCACGUGUAGCAGUGAAAUGCGUAGAGAUGUGGAGGAAUACCGAUGGCGAAGGCAGCCCCCUGGGAUAACACUGACGCUCAUGCACGAAAGCGUGGGGAGCAAACAGG